CCUACGGGUGGCUGCAGUGGGGAAUAUUGGACAAUGGGGGCAACCCUGAUCCAGCCAUGCCGCGUGUGUGAAGAAGGCCCUCGGGUUGUAAAGCACUUUCAGUGAGGAAGAACGCCUGGUGGUUAAUACCCAUCAGGAAAGACAUCACUCACAGAAGAAGCACCGGCUAACUCCGUGCCAGCAGCCGCGGUAAUACGGAGGGUGCGAGCGUUAAUCGGAAUUACUGGGCGUAAAGCGCGCGUAGGUGGCUUGAUAAGCCGGUUGUGAAAGCCCCGGGCUCAACCUGGGAACGGCAUCCGGAACUGUCAAGCUAGAGGGCAGGAGAGGAAGGUAGAAUUCCCGGUGUAGCGGUGAAAUGCGUAGAGAUCGGGAGGAAUACCAGUGGCGAAGGCGGCCUUCUGGACUGACACUGACACUGAGGUGCGAAAGCGUGGGUAGCAAACAGGAUUAGAUAACCGAGUAGUC
rnacentral:rRNA from 1 species